AACGAAUAAGAUGUAUAUGCGAGGUGUCACGGCGAUAGAACCCGAAUGAUUGCCGAAAUUCGCUUCCACGCUAUGCCAUCUUAGUGAAUCAUUGGUUGAUCCACCGCCAAGAUAUAAUCAAGGAACCGGGAAGAUCAUUUGCUGCGUGUUUGGUACAUUUGGAAAGGCCGGAUGGGGACUACCAUCGAUGGAUAUAGAGCAUCUGUGGACGGUGUAAAGUGGUUCGCGUAUUUCUUCUUGGAGGGUCAAGUGUACCCUAAGCUGAAACGAUUUGUUCCGUCGUUGCUGACGACACCUGGGAGCAUCACCAAGUCAUGGGCCAGGUUGAUACCACGCACUCAAGCAAUAGUACAAACGUUGUAGUCGCAGGGAGUCGUGUCCAAAUACAAACUGCUAGAAAUCUGGGGUUUGGAUAAAAAAUCUUACAAGAAGUGGCUGCCGGAAUCCGCGCACGCAGAAGUGACACAGA